rnacentral:rRNA from 1 species
UACAGAGGUCCCGAGCGUUGUUCGGAAUUACUGGGCGUAAAGGGCGCGUAGGCGGCCUUCUAAGUCAGACGUGAAAUCCCCCGGCUUAACCUGGGAACUGCGUCUGAUACUGGAGGGCUUGAGUAUGGGAGAGGGAUGUAGAAUUCCAGGUGUAGCGGUGAAAUGCGUAGAUAUCUGGAGGAAUACCGGUGGCGAAGGCGGCAUCCUGGACCAUUACUGACGCUGAGGCGCGAAAGCUAGGGGAGCAAACGGG